AGCCUGGUCUGGUGGUUGGCGACCCUGCACAUAGCAGGGGGUCGAAACCAGAUGAUCACUAUGGUCCUUUUCAACCCAGGCCAUUCUGUGAUUAUGGAUGAAGACCAUCUCUGCCACUGAGGACGUCCAGUGCAAAGAUUAAAAUCCCUCGAAUUACUGCUCUGGUCUAGGGAAAACUGCAGACAAGAAAAUAGCUGCUUGCCAACUCUUGCAUUGCCCUGCAGAAAAGCCAGAACUGAUGUCUCACAGAGCAGUGCUAGGAUGAGCUUGCAAGUGAGGAUGGAGAGAAGAUGCUUCCUUUUGCAGUAAUUCUCCACCAGUGGAUAAAGCACAUCUGGCAUGCUCUCUGGGAGGAAGAAUCCUCAUGCCACAAAUAAGAAAUGCCUAUAUCUGCAUAAGAUCAGGUUGGUGGGACCAGCAAAUAAGGAAUAGGCACACCUUACCCUACGUUCUAAAAUUCAUCUGUAUCUGGUAAUAUUUCUGAUGUUAUCUGCAUGAAGGAUUCUUCUUUGUUUGAUUUGAAUCUUUUCUUUUUGGCUACUGAAACCAUACUGUGGCAUGCAGGUUAAAUCUGCUGUUUAGUCUGGAGGUUGUGCUCUCCUGCCUCACAGAGUUACACUUGAAGGCUUUUCGUGUGGAGGUUCAAUUGAACUCUUCAGUUCAUCCCACCCCAGACUUGUUCCUUGGCUCUGAUAUCAGUAACAAAUAAUAACUAUCUAUUUUUGCAUACAUUAGAAGUCUGAUGCCUGUACUAAGGAAGUGGUUACAGCUCCUCUUCCACCUACUCUGGAAAGAUUCCUAGUAAUGAAUACUUUUCCAUGUAUGAAUGUCUUUAUUUUCUUUUUCUUGGCUUCUUCCCAGAUUCUUUAAAUACAGAUUUUCCUAAAACAUGA